rnacentral:rRNA from 1 species
AUUGAACGCUAGCGGGAUGCUUUACACAUGCAAGUCGAACGGCAGCGCGGACUUCGGUCUGGCGGCGAGUGGCGAACGGGUGAGUAAUGUAUCGGAACGUGCCCAGUAGCGGGGGAUAACUACGCGAAAGCGUAGCUAAUACCGCAUACGCCCUACGGGGGAAAGCAGGGGAUCGUAAGACCUUUCACUCUUGGAGCGGCCGAUAUCGGAUUAGCUAGUUGGUGAGGUAACGGCUUACCAAGGCGACGAUCCGUAGCUGGUUGGAGAGGACGACCAGCCACACUGGGACUGAGACACGGCCCAGACUCCUACGGGAGGCAGCAGUGGGGAAUUUUGGACAAUGGGGGCAACCCUGAUCCAGCCAUCCCGCGUGUGAGAUGAAGGCCUUCGGGUUGUAAAGCACUUUUGGCAGGAAAGAAACGUCGCGGGCUAAUACCCCGUGGAACUGACGGUACCUGCAGAAUAAGCACCGGCUAACUACGUG